GUCGGCGUGGUGACGCUUGCCUAUAAUCCUAGCAGCUUGGGAGGCUGAGACAGGAGGAUCACGAAUUCAAAGACAGCCUCAGCAACGUCAAAGCACUAAGCAACUCAGUGAGAUCCUGUCUCUA
rnacentral:sRNA from 1 species